rnacentral:rRNA from 1 species
CCAGAUGCUCAGUACGGCGAGUGAGCGGCAAAAGCUCAAAUUUGAAAUCUAGCACCUUCGGUGUUCGAGUUGUAAUUUGAAGAUGGUAACCUUGGGUUUGGCUCUUGUCUAUGUUCCUUGGAACAGGACGUCAUAGAGGGUGAGAAUCCCGUCUGAUGAGAUGCCCAUUCCUAUGUAAGGUGCUAUCGAAGAGUCGAGUUGUUUGGGAAUGCAGCUCUAAGUGGGUGGUAAAUUCCAUCUAAAGCUAAAUAUUGGCGAGAGACCGAUAGCGAACAAGUACAGUGAUGGAAAGAUGAAAAGAACUUUGAAAAGAGAGUGAAAAAGUACGUGAAAUUGUUGAAAGGGAAGGGCAUUAGAUCAGACUUGGUGUUUUACGAUUAUCUUCUCUUCUUGAGUUGUGCACUCGUAUUUCACUGGGCCAGCAUCGAUUCGGAUGGCAAGAUAAUGGCAGUUGAAUGUGGCUUCACUUCGGUGGAGUGUUAUAGCUUCUGCUGAUAUUGCCUGUCUGGAUCGAGGGCUGCGUCUUUUGACUAGGAUGCUGGCGUAAUGAUCUAAUGCCGCAAAAACUAAAAACCACGGACCCAGAA